CGCGCCUAACACAUGCAAGUCGAACGGAGAUUACGAGGUCGGAAGUUUCGGAUGGAAGCUUGUAAACUUAGUGGCGGACGGGUGAGUAACACGUGAGCAACCUGCCUAUCAGAGGGGGAUAACGAUUGGAAACGAUCGCUAAUACCGCAUGACAUAGCGGAAUCGCAUGGUUCUGCUAUCAAAGAUUUUAUCGCUGAAGGAUGGGCUCGCGUCUGAUUAGAUAGUUGGUGGGGGUAAUGGCCUACCAAGUCGACGAUCAGUAGCCGGACUGAGAGGUUGAACGGCCACAUUGGGACUGAGACACGGCCCAGACUCCUACGGGAGGCAGCAGUGGGGAAUAUUGCACAAUGGGGGAAACCCUGAUGCAGCAACGCCGCGUGAAGGAAGACGGUUUUCGGAUUGUAAACUUCUGUUCUUAGUGAAGAAUAAUGACGGUAGCUAAGGAGCAAGCCACGGCUAACUACGUG
rnacentral:rRNA from 1 species